ACCAGGUCUUGACAUCCCGAUGCUAUUUCUAGAGAUAGAAAGUUACUUCGGUACAUCGGUGACAGUGGUGCAUGGUUGUCGUCAGCUCGUGUCGUGAGAUGUUGGGUUAAGUCCCGCAACGAGCGCAACCCCUAUUGUUAGUUGCCAUCAUUCAGUUGGGCACUCUAGCGAGACUGCCGGUAAUAAACCGGAGGAAGGUGGGGAUGACGUCAAAUCAUCAUGCCCCUUAUGACCUGGGCUACACACGUGCUACAAUGGUUGGUACAACGAGUUGCGAGUCGGUGACGGCGAGCUAAUCUCUUAAAGCCAAUCUCAGUUCGGAUUGUAGGCUGCAACUCGCCUACAUGAAGUCGGAAUCGCUAGUAAUCGCGGAUCAGCACGCCGCGGUGAAUACGUUCCCGGGCCUU
rnacentral:rRNA from 1 species